UACGUAGGGGGCAAGCGUUGUCCGGAUUUAUUGGGCGUAAAGAGCGUGUAGGCGGCUAGGUAGGUCCGUUGUGAAAACUCGAGGCUCAACCUCGAGACGCCGGUGGAAACCAUCUAGCUAGAGUACGGUAGGGGCAGAGGGAAUUUCCGGUGGAGCGGUGAAAUGCGUAGAGAUCGGAAAGAACACCAACGGCGAAAGCACUCUGCUGGGCCGACACUGACACUGAGAGACGAAAGCUAGGGGAGCGAAUGGG
rnacentral:rRNA from 1 species